rnacentral:rRNA from 1 species
UGGGGAAUAUUGGACAAUGGGCGCAAGCCUGAUCCAGCCACGCCGCGUGAGUGAUGAAGGCCUUCGGGUUGUAAAGCUCUGUGGGGAGGGACGAAAACGCUGCACAAGAAACGGUGCAGCCUUGACGGUACCUCCUUAGCAAGCACCGGCUAACUCUGUGCCAGCAGCCGCGGUAAUACAGAGGGUGCGAACGUUGCUCGGAAUUACUGGGCGUAAAGCGCGUGUAGGCGGGUCGGUAAGUCGGACGUGAAAUCCCCAGGCUCAACCUGGGAACUGCGCUCGAAACUGCAGGCCUUGAGUGUCGGAGAGGAUGGCGGAAUUCCUGGUGUAGAGGUGAAAUUCGUAGAUAUCAGGAGGAACACCGGUGGCGAAGGCGGCCAUCUGGACGACAACUGACGCUGAGACGCGAAAGCGUGGGGAGCAAACAGGAUUAGAUACCCCCGUAGUCC